rnacentral:ncRNA from 1 species
AAAAUUGCUAAGAACAGAUGAGUAAGUGGGGCUAAAGUUGACAGAGAGUCGCAGGUGCUGAGAAGCGAUACUUUAAAGACACUGAAUAUGGUCUGGGAGCAAAUCAAAUAAUGAACUGAAAGUAAAUUAUUUGCGGGGUAACGCUCGAUAUUGCGUUCAAGUAUAGCUUGUACAGUGUACUUGUAAAGGUUAAUUUCGUGAGAAAUUAACGAAUUUUUGGGUGGUACCACGCGUCAGCGUCCCUAUU